GAUGAAGAACGUAGCGAAAUGCGAUAAGUAAUGUGAAUCGCAGAAUUCAGUGAAUCAUCGAAUCUUUGAACGCACAUUGCGCCCGCCAGUAUUCUGGCGGGCAUGCCUGUUCGAGCGUCAUUUCAACCAUCAAGCCCCCCGGCUUGUGUUGGGGACCUGCGGCUGCCGCAGGCCCUGAAAAGCAGUGGCGGGCUCGCUGUCACACCGAGCGUAGUAGAUCUCAUCUCGCUCAGGGCGUGCUGCGGGUUCCGGCCGUUAAACCACCUUCAUAACCCAAGGUUGACCUCGGAUCAGGUAGGAAGACCCGCUGAACUUAAGCAUAUCAAUAAGCGGAGGA
rnacentral:misc_RNA from 1 species